AGCAGCCGCGGUAAUUCCAGCUCCAAUAGCGUAUAUUAAAGUUGUUGCAGUUAAAAAGCUCGUAGUUGAAUUUCGGGAUCAAUAUGUUGGUCGUGCCUUGGUACGUACUGGCGUCAUUGGUUUCUACCUUCUGAAGAACCUCGAUGUCAUUAAUUUGGUGUCUUGGGGAAUCAGGACUGUUACUUUGAAAAAAUUAGAGUGUUUAAAGCAGGCUCACGCUUGAAUACAUUAGCAUGGAAUAAUGAAAUAGGACGUUUGAUUCUAUUUUGUUGGUUUCUAGGAUCGACGUAAUGAUUAAUAGGGAUAGUUGGGGGCAUUAGUAUUCAAUUGUCAGAGGUGAAAUUCUUGGAUUUAUUGAAGACUAACUACUGCGAAAGCAUUUGCCAAGGAUGUUUUCAUUAAUCAAGAACGAAAGUUAGGGGAUCGAAGACGAUCAGAUACCGUCGUAGUCUUAACCAUAAACUAUGCCGACUAGGGAUCGGAUGAUGUUAAUUUUUUAAUGACUCAUUCGGCGCCUUACG
rnacentral:rRNA from 1 species